rnacentral:lncRNA from 1 species
CCUUCAUUUUGCAGCUGGGGCUCACUGCCCCUUAGGGGGCAGGGAGCCAGUGAUUCCUGAGGGAGCCAGCAGCCGAGACCCGUGCCCUGCCAGGCAUGUAUGCACGUCUCUUUAAUAUUUUCUGUCUUUUGGGGGAAGGGGCUUCCUGGAGGAGUGGAGGUUACACAGCCAUAACCAGCUGCUAUCCCUGUCUCUAUGUGUGAACAAGGGUGGCUUUAAUACCUGUCACCUGGUGUGACGAGGGCCACUAUGGCACCCUUGAUAGGGGCUAGAGGCUUGCAUAGGGUCAGGGAGGACAUUUCCCCUUUGAGGAGGUGGGUGGUCUUGGAACCCUGGCUGUAGCUGGUUCCCACUUCUGUAAGAUCAGGGCAGCAAAGUCCCCGUCUUGACAGAUGAAAUAGACAGGUGGGCAGUCCUUCCCACACGCAAAGGUAACUUUUCUUAGGAGGGCUUCCUUCUCUGGAUCAAUUUGAAAGCCCCUUUCAUCAUUUUGGAAUUAAGAUGUAAACCUAGGAAAGGGUCAAACAGGAAGGCAGUGUUGAGCUCCCCUGGGUUGUUUUCUGGAGGCAACAUCGCCUCUUGCUGGUGUUUUCCUGCAUUUACACAGGCUUCUUCAGGCUAUCUGUUUCCACAGGGAAGCAACCCCCGGCUGCAGGCUAAGUGUAGGGAGUUUAUUCUUAAUAAUGCUUUUUUGUUUGUUUCUUAUUUGUCAUAAAAAUAUUUUGCAUUUGUGAGAUGCAAAAUGAAACAGGCAAAUUUCCUUGCCUGUUAAUCUAAGGUACUCACAGGUACUGAGCCCACCUCACAAAUCCUAUGGGCAAAACAGCAAGACCUCUAGUGUGACAGGGUUGAUUAGGGGCUGGCCAUGAAGGCAGAAGACUAUUUAACUCGCCUCAAAUUGUUUUUUUCUCCGUUCUGCCUAAAAUCACGGUGGGAAACUGGUCUUCAUUUCCUCAGAUGAAAAGGUGGCUUUGCAAGGACAAAGGUGGAUAAGGUUUCAGAGUGCUGGGUUUAGAGAGGGUUAAUCUUUUCUGUUUUGGGGGGUCUCUGAGCCUCCAGCGUUUCUCUGAAGAUGUGGGUGUAAUUACAUUAUCUUUGUCACACACUUAGCACUGUGUUCUGAGAAUCUGACAGCCCGUGACAGCUGCAGGGGCCUCACUAGCUGGCUGGGGCUGAAGCUUAAUCUGCAAGCAAGACUCCGGUUACCUUGGAAAGGAAAGAAGGGGUCUCCCGAGGAGUUCAGGGUACCAUGGGCUACCUGAACAGGUUAGCUACACUAACUCGGGACCACCUGGGUUAGACUCUGAAGGUACUUGGCAAGCGAGUACUGCUCGAGAGUCAAACUGUCAGCGCCCGCAGCAAGUCCCCAGCUCUUUGCCAGCAAGCAGUCUCCACUGUUGACACACUCCGACUGCUGUGUCUGCGUUUCUCCAGAGGCCCGUGUCCCCUUUGCCAACAUCUAUCUCAAGUCACAUUCCCCUGGAGUUCUCAUUCCAUACAGCUAAUCCCCUAGAACACGGGCCAGCGCAUUAGCUUUCUUGGCCUCCUAAGGACCAAAAAGGAAAAUGCUACCCCCUGUGGGUACAUUGCAGUCACUGAGGGUGGGAGAAUGAUUAUGCUGGUGAAAUCAUAGCCUCAGGCUCACACCUGCUGGCUACAUGUCACUGACAGGCUGCACGGGGCUAAAGUUUCAGUGUUGGAGCGCAUAAAAUAAAAAUUAAAGAAAAAAUAAAACAAAAAGGAAGGGAAAAAGAUAAGAGUCCCUGCGUGCAGAACUUGCUUUGGGCACCUGUAACUGACUUGUAAUCUGUCAGUUAAAAUGCUCCUUGCAUUUGUUUUCUGUUUGUAAAAGCCAAAAAAAAAACCAAAAAACAAAAAACAAAAAAAACCCUACAGAAAAGCUAUUACACAAAAUAUUUAUUGUAAUUACACAGGAAAUGCACUGCUAAUUAAUAUAGUGGCAGCAAAAAUCAAAGAGCACAAAGCACUUAACCCCUCCCUUAACCCCCUCCUUCAGUUAGGGGCCAUAGUCCUCUUAGGUGCCUGCACUGUUUUUUUUUUUUUUUGUAUAUUUGCAUAUAUCUGUAAAGACACCCGCAGAGAGUUCCUUGUGUACAGGGGCUAUUUUAGAGCUCUCGUUUUUUCCUUUUGCAUUUUGUAUCAGCUUGUUUUUCUUCCCUCCAGAAUGUGCUUGGCAAUACCAAACAUCCAUAGCCUUAUGACACCCAGUACCUUAGAUUCCCGAACAAACGGCGCACACACACCGGAGCUGAUUUAACCGUCUCAUUGCCACCCUGAAAUCUGGGGUCCUUUAUCUUGGCAGGUCAAACCCUGCUGUGUUUCCUGAGUCUGACCUCUGAGAUCUCUCUGGGCAGAGGGCUGUGUCGCAUGCUGUGGGGGCUGAGCCUUAUCCAGUAGCUGCUGGAAGAAGAAGCAAAUGCCUUUCCACAGUAGUGAGAUUGGUGACUACCUUAUAUCCAGUAGCUUCUGGAAGCAGAAGGGAAGGCCCUUCCCUUGUAAUCAGAUGAUGACUACUGUAUAUACCUUCCUGGAGCCUUCAUCCAGUAGCUGCUGGAAAAACUGAGUGACCGUCCCUGGUAAUGAGAUUGAUGCCUACCUUAUAUGCCAUCUUAGAGCCUUCAUCCAGGAGCCACAGGAAACAAAAUGGAAUGCACUUCCCAUAUAAUACGAUUGACACCUACCUUAAUGCCAUCCUAGAGCCUUCAUCCAGUAGAUUGUAGAGGCAAAAGGAAAUGCCCUUUCCCUAUGACAGAAUUGAUGGCUACAUUAUAUGCCAUGACACAGCCUUCAUCCUGUAGCUGAUAGUAGCAGAAGGGAAUGCCCUUCCCUUAUAAUGAAUUUGAUGAGUUACUAUAGAGGAUUACAAAGUGUAGUCAGAAAUAGAUUGAUCACCACUAGUUUAUUUGGGAAAAAUAUUCAAGCCAGAGUGCAACACGCCGGCUUUCACCUGAGCAGGAAGGACCCAUAAAUGCUACUCAGUCAGCUCAGCCUGGUGAAAGAGAGCCUUGUGCACGCCUGUUUCUUCCUGAAACCCUUGUUAGGUAACUAUGUGUGUGUGGUCAUUGUUACCUGUGACCUUCGGGAAGUGGACUUGGUGUUACCUCUAAUCCUGGUUUCUCCUUAAAAUUCACCAUUUGAUCUAAAGACGAUUUAAAUUGAACAGUGUAAAAUCUCUAUAGUUACCAAACAUAAAGGUGAAUUACAUAAAGAUAUAAUGGUUUUUUUUUUUUUUUUUUGGUUUUUUGAGUCAAGGAUAAUAAUCCCUUAAAUGCUUCCCAGUCAGGUCAGCCAGGUGAAAAAGAGCCCUGUGCGUGCCUCUAUCUUCCUGAAACCCUUGUAAGGUAACUCUGACCACGGUCAUGUUGGUGUUAUCAUUGGUACCGGUGACCUUCGGAAAGUGGAUUUAGUCAGUCGUACCUCUAAUACUGGCCUCUACUUAAAAUUCUCCUUUUGGUCUACAUAGGAUUUAAAUUUAACAGUGGAAGUUACCUAUAAUUACCAAUCAUAAAGUUAAAUUACAUGAAAAAAAAUUUUUUUUUGAACAUCGUUAAUAAUCCCUUAAAUGCUUCCCCAUCGGAUCAGCCAGGUGAAAGACAGCCUUGUGCAUGACUCUUUCUAACUAAAACCCAUAUUAGGUAACUCUGACCACGCCCAUGUUGGUGUGGUCAUUGUUACCUGUGACCUUCGGGAAGUUGACUUAGUCAGUCCUACCACUAAUCCUGGUCUCUGCUUAAAAUUCCCCUUUUGGUCUAAAUGGGAUUUAAAUUUACCAGUGGAAGUUACCUAUAAUUACCAAUCAUAAAGUUAAAUUACAUGAAAAAAAAUUUUUUUUUGUUUUUUUUGAACAUCGUUAAUAAUCCCUUAAAUGCUUCCCCAUCGGAUCAGCCAGGUGAAAAAGAGCCCUGUGCAUGACUCUUUCUCCCUAAAACACUUAUUAGGUAACUCUGACCACGCCCAUGUGGGUGUGGUCAUUGUUACCUGUGACCUUCGGGCAGUGGACAUAGUCAGUCCUACCUCUAAUCCUGGUCUCUGCUUAAAAUUCCCCUUUUGGUAUAAAGAGGAUUUAAAUUUAACAGUGGAUGUUAUCUAUAAUUACCAAUCAUAAAGUUAAAUUACAUGAAAAAAAAUUUUUUUUUGUUUUUUUGAACAUCGUUAAAAAUCCCUUAAAUGCUUCCCCAUCAGAUCAGCCAGGUGAAAAAGAGCUUUGUGCAUGACUCUUUCUUCCUAAAACCCUAUUAGGUAACACUGACCACGCCCGUGUGGGUGUGGUCAUUGUUACCUGUGACCUUCGGGCAGUGGACAUAGUACUACCUCAAAUCCUGGUCUCUCCUUAAAAUUCCUCUUUUGGUCUAAAGAGGAUUUAAAUUUAACAGUGGAAGUUAUCUAUAAUUACCAAUCAAAGUUAAAUUACAUAAAAAAAAUCUUUUUUUUUGUUUUUUUUGAACAUCGUUAAUAAUCCCUUAAAUGCUUCCCCUUCAGAUCAGCCAGGUGAAAAAGAGCUUUGUGCAUGACUUUUUCUUCCUAAAACCCUAUUAGGUAACACUGACCACACCCAUGUGGGUGUGGUCAUUGUUACCUGUGACCUUCGGGCAGUGGACAUAGUCAGUCCUACCUCUAAUCCUGGUCUCUACUUAAAUUUCCCCUUUUGGUAUAAAGAGGAUUUAAAUUUAACAGUGGAAGUUAUCUAUAAUUACCAAUCAUAAAUUUAAAUUACAUGAAAAAAAAUCUUUUUGUUUUUUUUUUUGAGACAUGGUUAAUAAUCCCUUAAAAGCUUCCCAUCAGAUCAGCCAGGUGAAUGGGAGCCCUGUGCAUGCCUCUUUCUUCCUGAAACCCUUGUUAGGUAACUCUGAUCACGCCCAUGUGGGUGUGGUCAUUGUUACCUGUGACCUUCGGGAAGUGGACUUGGUGUUACCUCUAAUCCUGGUUUCUCCUUAAAAUUCACCUUUUGAUAUAAAGACGAUUUAAAUUGAACAGUGUAAAAUCUCUAUAGUUACCGAACAUAAAGGUGAAUUACAUAAAGAUAUAAUGGUUUUUUUUUUUUUUUGGUUCUUUGAGUCAAAGUUAAUAAUCCCUUAAUGCUUCCGAGUCAGUUCAGCUAGGUGAAAUAGAGCCUUGUGCAUGCAUCUUUAUUCCUGAAACCCUUGAAAGGUAACUCUGACCACGGUCAUGUUGGUGUGAUCAUUGGUACCUGUGACCUUCGGAAAGUGGACUUAGUCAGUCGUACCUCUAAUACUGGCCUCUACUUAAAAUUCUCCUUUUGGUCUACAUAGGAUUUAAAUUUAACAGUGGAAGUUAUCUAUAAUUACCAAACAUAAAGUUAAAUUACAUGAAACAAAAUCUUUUUUUUUUGUUUUUUUUGAACAUCGUUAAUAAUCCCUUAAAUGCUUCCCCAUCAGAUAAGCCAGGUGAAGGAGAGCCCUGUUCGUGCCUCAUUCUUCCUGAAUCCCUUGUUAGGUAACUCUGACCACGCCCAUGUGGGUGUGGUCAUUGGUACCUGUGACCUUCGGAAAGUGCAUUUAGGCAGUAUAACUCUAAUCCUGGUCGCUACUCAAAAUACCCCUUUCGGUCUAAGUAGGAUUUAAAUUUAACAGUGGAAGUUAUCUAUAAUUACCAAUCACAAAGUUAAAUUACCUGAAAAAAAAAUAUCUUUUUUUGUUUUUUUUUGAUACAUCUUUAAUAAUCCCUUAAAUGCUUCUCCAAAAGAUCACCAGGUGAAACAGACCCUUGUGCAUGACUCUUUCUUCC